rnacentral:rRNA from 1 species
AGAGUGAACGCUGGCGGUAGGCCUAACACAUGCAAGUCGAACGGCAGCACGGUAAGAGCUUGCUCUUAUGGGUGGCGAGUGGCGGACGGGUGAGGAAUACAUCGGAAUCUACCUUUUGGUGGGGGAUAACGUAGGGAAACUUACGCUAAUACCGCAUACGCCCUUCGGGGGAAAGCCGGGGACCAGCAAUGGCCUGGCGCUGAUAGAUGAGCCGAUGUCGGAUUAGCUAGUUGGUGAGGUAAUGGCUCACCAAGGCGACGAUCCGUAGCUGGUCUGAGAGAUGAUCAGCCACACUGGAACCUGAGACACGGUCCAGACUCCCUACGGGAGGCAGCAGUGGGGGAAUAUUGGACAAGUGGGCGCAAGCCUGAUCCAG